UUAUGAGUUUACAUUUAAAUUAAUAAUUUAUUUAUGUUCCUAAGUGUGCAGUGUGAAUUCACAAAAUACCCCCAGCAUUUAGACGUAUUGGAUUGAGAAUUUUUGAAGAGGUUCGGAAAAUGCUCAUAUUAACAGCAGUAGUGAAGCAAGUGAACCGGAAUCAUCACGGCGUGUUCAAAUACUAAUGAUACUCAAUGUUUUGGGGGUGAUAUGUUGCUUCAUCAUGAGCAUCAUCAUGUUACUAUGGGCAUUUAAUAUAAUUUUCCCCG